rfam:Candidatus Kerfeldbacteria bacterium RIFCSPHIGHO2_02_FTLL_42_14 rifcsphigho2_02_scaffold_1487, whole genome shotgun sequence.
AGGAAAUUGCGGCAACGCAACUUCCGAAUCUAACAAGGAGUCAGCAGAGGCCGUAGUAAUCCUGAUACGUCGGGAUGAAGGGC